rnacentral:rRNA from 1 species
CCUACGGGUGGCAGCAGUGGGGAAUAUUGGGCAAUGGGCGCAAGCCUGCCGCAGCAACGCCGCGUGAAGGAAGAAGGCUUUCGGGUUGUAAACUUCUUUUCUCAGGGACGAAGCAAGUCACGGUAACUGAGCAAUAAGCCACGGCUAACUACGUGCCAGCAGCCGCGUUACUACGUAAGGGGCAAGCUUUAUCCGGGUUUACUGGGUGCAAAGGGCGUGUAGGCGGGACUGCAAGGCAGAUGUGAAAACCACGGGCUCAACCUGUGACCUGCAUUUGAAACUGUAGUGCUUGAGUACUGGAGAGGCAGACGGAAUUCCUGGUGUAGCGGUGAAAUGCGUAGAGAUCAGGAGGAACACCAGUGGCGAAGGCGAUCUGCUGGACAGCAACUGACGCUGAGGCGCGAAAGCGUGGGGAGCAAACAGGAUUAGAUACCCGAGUAGUC